ACGGUCCUAAGGUAGCGAAAUUCCUUGUCAGGUAAGUUCUGACCCGCACGAAAGGCGUAACGAUUUGGGCGCUGUCUCAGCUGUAGACUCGGUGAAGUCUUAGUACCUGUGAAGAUGCAGGUUACCCGCGACUAGACGGAAAGACCCCAUGGAGCUUCACUGCAGGUUGAUAUUGGGAUUUGAUGCAGCAUGUACAGGAUAGGUAGGAGGCAAAGAGAUGGAUACGCCAGUAUUCAAGGAGCCGCUGUUGGGAUACUACCCCUGUUGUAUUGGAUUUCUAACCGGACGACGUAAAGCCGUUGACGGGACAGUGUCAGUCGGGCAGUUUGACUGGGGCGGUCGCCUCCCAAAGAGUAACGGAGGCGCCCAAAGAUACCCUCAGCUUGGAUGGAAACCAAGCGCAGAGUGCAAAGGCAAAAGGGUGUUUGACUGCGAGACCUACAAGUCGAGCAGGGACGAAAGUCGGGCUUAGUGAUCCGGCGGUGCUGAAUGGAAAGGCCGUCGCUCAACGGAUAAAAGCUACCCUGGGGAUAACAGGCUGAUCUCCCCCAAGAGUCCACAUCGACGGGGAGGUUUGGCACCUCGAUGUCGGCUCAUCGCAUCCUGGGGCUGUAUUCGGUCCCAAGGGUUUGGCUGUUCGCCAAUUAAAGCGGUACGCGAGCUGGGUUCAGAACGUCGUGAGACAGUUCGGUCCCUAUCUGUCGUGGGCGUAGGAUAUUUGAAGAGCGCUGUCCCUAGUACGAGAGGACCGGGAUGGACGCACCGCUGGCGCAUCGGUUGUCAUGCCAAUGGCACGGCCGAGCAACUAUGUGCGGUUUGGAUAAACGCUGAAAGCAUCUAAGCGUGAAGCCAUCUCUAAGAUAAGAUAUCCCAUAGCAUAAGCUAGUAAGACCCCUCAAAGACUAUGAGGUUGAUAGGCUGCGUGUGUAAGUACGGCGACGUAUUUAGCUUGGCAGUACUAAUAGGUCGAGGGCUUGACCUU
rnacentral:rRNA from 1 species